CCUACGGGAGGCAGCAGUGGGGGAUAUUGCACAAUGGGGGGAACCCUGAUGCAGCGACGCCGCGUGGGUGAAGGAGUGCUUCGGCAUGUAAAGCCCUAUCGGCAGGGAAGAAGCAAGACGGUACCUGACUAAGAAGCCCCGGCUAACUACGUGCCAGCAGCCGGGGUAAUACGUAGGGGGCGAGCGUUAUCCGGAUCCACUGGGUGUAAAGGGAGCGUAGACGGCCAUGCAAGCUAGGGGUGAAAGCCCGGGGCCCAACCCCGGGACUGCCCUUGGAACUGUGCGGCUAGAGUGCGGGAGGGGCAGGCGGAAUGCCUGGUGUAGCGGUGAAAUGCGGAGAUAUCAGGAGGAACACCGGCGGCGAAGGCGGCCUGCUGGACCGCGACUGACGUUGAGGCUCGAAAGCGUGGGGAGCGAACAGGAUUAGAUACCCCAGUAGUC
rnacentral:rRNA from 1 species